AAGUCGUAACAAGGUUUCCGUAGGUGAACCUGCGGAAGGAUCAUUACUGAAUUGUCAACAAGAGUUGUUGCUGGUCCUCAAAUGGGGGCAUGUGCACGCUCUGUUCACACAUCCACUCACACCCUGUGCACCCUCUGUAGUUCUGUGGUCGGGAGGCCUGUCCUCCUGCUGUGGUUCUGCAUCUUUACACACACACUGUAACAAAGUCUUAUGGAAUGCAUGCCGCGUUUAACGCAAUACAAUACAACUUUCAGCAACGGAUCUCUUGGCUCUCGCAUCGAUGAAGAACGCAGCGAAAUGCGAUAAGUAAUGUGAAUUGCAGAAUUCAGUGAAUCAUCGAAUCUUUGAACGCACCUUGCGCCCUUUGGCCAUUCCGAAGGGCAUGCCUGUUUGAGUAUCAUGAACACCUCAACUCUUCAUGGUUUUCCAUGAUGAGCUUGGACUUUGGGGGUCUUGCUGGCCUACGGUUGGCUCCUCUAAAAUAAAUCAGCUUGCCAGUGUUUGGUGGGUAUCGCAGGUGUGAUAACUAUCUACGCUUGUGGUUUUCCACUGAGUAACCUUCAGCAGUGGAGGUUCACUGGAGCUCACAGAUGUGUCUCUCCUCAGUGAGGACAGCUCUUUGAAUGUUUGAUCUCAAAUCAGGCAGGACUACCCGCUGAACUUAAGCAUAUCAAUAAGCGGAGGA
rnacentral:rRNA from 1 species